AAUAGUAGUUUAUGUGACUGCUACAUAAUGAGAGGCAUCAAAAUACGAGUAUUUUCAAAGGCUCAGGACCGCUUCGGCCUCAGUUUCAUUUCGUCAUCUCCAUAAAUCGUCCACAGUGCCAUGUCGUCAGCCUACAAUUCCUAAAUCGUCACCUUCCUAACUUGCCUACUUUCUGAUAUCGUCAAUACCCCAUUUUGUCUAAAUUCCUAUUUUGACCAUAGUGCCAACUCGUCCAAUAUCUGAUAUCGUCAAUAUACCAUUUUUGUCUACGUUCCUAUUUCGACCAAAGUGCCAACUCGUCCGCGUUCUU